UACAGAGGAGCCAAGCGUUGUUCGGAUUUACUGGGCGUAAAGCGCACGUAGGCGGAUUGGUCAGUUAGGGGUGAAAUCCCAGAGCUCAACUCUGGAACUGCCUUUAAUACUGCCAGUCUCGAGUCCGGAAGAGGUAAGUGGAACUCCUAGUGUAGAGGUGGAAUUCGUAGAUAUUAGGAAGAACACCAGUGGCGAAGGCGGCUUACUGGUCCGGUACUGACGCUGAGGUGCGAAAGCGUGGGGAGCAAACAGG
rnacentral:rRNA from 1 species